rnacentral:rRNA from 1 species
GACGAACGCUGGCGGCGUGCUUAACACAUGCCAGUCGAACGGAAAGGCCCUGCUUUUGUGGGGUGCUCGAGUGGCGAACGGGUGAGUAACACGUGAGUAACCUGCCCUUGACUUUGGGAUAACUUCAGGAAACUGGGGCUAAUACCGGAUAGGAGCUCCUGCUGCAUGGUGGGGGUUGGAAAGUUUCGGCGGUUGGGGAUGGACUCGCGGCUUAUCAGCUUGUUGGUGGGGUAGUGGCUUACCAAGGCUUUGACGGGUAGCCGGCCUGAGAGGGUGACCGGCCACAUUGGGACUGAGAUACGGCCCAGACUCCUACGGGAGGCAGCAGUGGGGAAUAUUGCACAAUGGGCGGAAGCCUGAUGCAGCAACGCCGCGUGCGGGAUGACGGCCUUCGGGUUGUAAACCGCUUUCGCCUGUGACGAAGCGUGAGUAACGGUAAUGGGUAAAGAAGCACCGGCUAACUACGU